AACGAACGCUGGCGGCAUGCCUAACGCAUGCAAGUCGAACGAGACCUUCGGGUCUAGUGGCGCACGGGUGCGUAACGCGUGGGAACCUGCCCUUAGGUUCGGAAUAACUCCCCGAAAGGGGUGCUAAUACCGGAUAAUGUCUUCGGACCAAAGAUUUAUCGCCUUUGGAUGGGCCCGCGUUGGAUUAGCUAGUUGGUAGGGUAAAAGCCUACCAAGGCGACGAUCCAUAGCUGGUCUGAGAGGAUGAUCAGCCACACUGGGACUGAGACACGGCCCAGACUCCUACGGGAGGCAGCAGUGGGGAAUAUUGGACAAUGGGCGAAAGCCUGAUCCAGCAAUGCCGCGUGAGUGAUGAAGGCCUUAGGGUUGUAAAACUCUUUUACCCGGGAUGAUAAUGACAGUACCGGGAGAAUAAGCUCCGGCUAACUCCGUG
rnacentral:rRNA from 1 species